AAAGAAAAGUAAAGGACUAAAUUGUAAAGUUUAGUCACAUUUUGUAUCGAGUACUUAUCUAGUCACUCGGGGAUCGAAGGAAAUGUCGGAGGCCGAUCACACUAUCAAAGAAAUAACUCGGUAUAACUAGACGUUUUGUUUUGGGUAUGGCAUGUAUAGAAACUUAGCCACUUUUGGUAUAAUAUGAACAAUGAAUGAUGUGUAAAUACUUGCUAGUGAUUAGCUAAUAAAAA